GGGGGCUCCUCUUUUUUUCUUAGAAUGACAUUGGGGACGAUAUUAUAACAUUUAAUUGAUAUUCUGUGGCACCUCACCUCUUUAUUUACUCUUUACCCAAACAAACCCCUCAGCCUACUCAGUUUUAACGGCAGACUUUAUAUUCUGCAUUGCAGAGCAGGUGUGAGCAGCUCCUUAAUCUGCUUUGUGAUCGCAGCGGGGAGGUAAGCAAACUAUUGAGAUUAUUCGUUUGGAAAUGAAAUGCAGAGGUGGAACAGAUACAAUUGUGACUUAAGCACACCUCUCUAGUAAGUUGGGAAGCAUGAAUAUGAAAAUGUUUCUGCAGUUGUUUGAUGGGUUUUGAAAAGCAACGAGGGUCCAAUAAAAUAAUGUGUGGCCUGUGGGAAGAUGACCUAUAUCAACAAUCUUCCAAAUCAGACUGGGUAGCCUAGCAAACCCCAAACUGAAAAAAAACCAUUCUAGGUCGGUGAUGUUUUGCUUUAAUUUGUAGAAUUCUCAAACCCCACGUCAAAAAAAAGAUAGGCUAUUGCUGUGUGUCUUAGGGUAUGAGACAUUUACAUUUACGUAAUUUAGCAGACGCUAUUGUCCAUAGGGUUCAUUAGUGGCCUAUAGCGGGACACAGCACGGGAAUGUUUCAUUGAGGCAUAUUGGGCCAUAGAGAUUUCGAUUAUGGAUGCUUUGUGGUACCUCGCAACUGUUUACUUUGAUUGCGUGACGCACUACACGCCAUGAUUGAGUCAUAAUAGCGUGUCGCACACAUGCAGCUUAUAUGGUCCACAACAACCUGUAACGGUCAGAUACACUUUAUCAAUCAGGCAGAGCAGUAACAUUGUAAUGUGGCUUCAACCCCACGUUUGCUCAUGGUAAAGAGCGCGCAACCACCAGAACAGAAAGCAUUAAAUAACGUUAGGGAGGUCGUCAUGGCGAAGUGUGACUGAAGAAGGAAGAUGUUAACAUGUUUGCCACUGCAGUAAAUUACAUGGGCCUCUGUGUGCCCAGGCUCCUACAAGCAUCCAAGGAGGAGUUCAGUUCAGACGGGGUCAUUGGGCCCCACCUUUUCCUGAUUCUCCUCUCCAUUCUCCUGCUCCUGUUCUGGGCCAUCCAUUUGUGUAAGGACGAUGAUGAUGUCUUCGGCGACAUUGACCAAGCGCUGGUCAAUAACUUCACAGAGGGAGUUCAUCUCUACUACAGCUACCUCCAACGACUGGAGGAACUAACGUUACAUAUGGAGGACCUCACCUCUGAGGUGGACCUGGAAUCCUGCGCUGACCCCCAAUCGUGCUUUGACUCAUGCUCAUCCAGAUCAUCUUCUAGAUCACAUUCUAGACCACAUUCUAGAUCCUCCAGAUUUAGUGACUGCAGCACAUGCCGAACCUGCAAUAAACGGCGGAAACGGCAUCCACCUGACAGGUUUAAAUUCCUGAAAGGCGGUGGUCCAGAUAGUCACUGUUCUUCAGGUAGUUCUAUCCCACUGGCUAAGCCCUGCCUCAAGCUACCAGGAGGUGGUGAUGUUAAGGACAGUCACCAUGGCUCCACACACACCUCCUGUAGCUCCUCCUGCAACUCCUCUAGGUACGUGACUCCUUCUGACUCCCCUCAACCUCUGGAAUACCAGCCCUGCCCUCGUCAGCUUACUGCUAUUGGUUGGAGGCUAAACUGGACUCUGAUGGAGGCCAAACUGGACUCUCCUGUCGCUGUGCCUGUUGCUGCUGCUUCUACUGUCACUGGCUGUAAAGACAGAGCUGCCAGCCGCACAGACCGCUCCAGGACUCCGACUGCGAGACAUAUUCCAAUGGUAAGACAGCUGUUUGAGGUCGUGCCGAGGAAAGGAGACCCAGCCGUCCUGUGCCGCUGGUACCGCAGACACUUGGAACUCAACGUGACACAGAAGGUGGCCCGUAAGCGCUGGAGGAUUGCCGUGCUGAUGAUCUCCAUCAUUAGGUGGCUGCUCCCCGAGAGACUGAAGGGAGGAGGCACCACCAGCUCAACCUCCACCUCUGCAUCCACCACCACUACCACCACCACCACUACCACCCAGUUCAACACCUCAACCACCUCUCAGGCUAAGAAAGGAUCAAAGAUCACCAGGAAAACUGCCAGUGUUCCAGCUUUCUGCCCUCAGGGUGCCAAACCUCCAUCUCCCUCCAGGGCUCCAUGCCAGUCUCCAGGGUUAGAGGGUAAACCCAAGUCCAUCAUGAUGUACACUCAGGGCGCCAGGAUCCCCUUCAUUUGCCAGGAGGUCCGAGAGAAGCUUGAGUCUCAUGUUUGCCGCAAGCAGAGCCAGCGCCUCUGGGGCUUCCCCAAGCUGGUCACCAGGUACGUGGGCGACCUUGCGCUCCAGCAGCUCCCUACCUCCGGCAGCGCAGGCGACGGGAAGGUCAUGGGCAAUGUGACCGACCGUCAGGCGGUGUUCUCUGGACGAGCGCACCGCAACACAGAGUUCAGGUUGAAGAACAAGACUACAAGGCCAGCAGAGGAGCCGCAGGCUACUGCAGCCGUAGCGAAGGACAGCUCACCAGCCACCAGACCUGUAGAGAAGACUACCACCAGCACUGUGCUCCAGCCAGCCGAGAGCCACGCUACCAAACCUUCCCAGACCGGACACUCUCUGAACCAGACAUCCCCUGUGAGGAGCUUGACCCCGGAGAGAUGCUGGCUGGAGGAGAAGGUGAGGAGUAAGUAUAUGGAGGUGAAGCUCAAACACUUUCCCGGCAUGGUGGCCCAGUCAUACCACUCCGCCCUUGCUUCGGCAACCAGCCAUCCAACUAGGAAACCCACCCAGGUGGCAGAAGCCCCUGCUGUUGUUCUGAAACGCCCCGCCCCACUCAGACAGCGGGAUAAGGUGUUGUUCAUGGACCAGGAGGAGCUCAGGCACCUGGAGGACAACCUGAUCAUGAAACAUAUGGAGCACCUUCAGAGGCAGGGAGUGACCACCGACUCGGCCCCCUCGGCCCACACCCAGGGAGUGACCACCGCCUCGGCCCACACCCAGGGAGUGACGACCGCCUCGGCCCCCUCGGCCCACACCCAGCGAGUGACGACCGCCUCGGCCCCCUCGGCCCACACCCAGCGAGUGACGACCGCCUCGGUCCCCUCGGCCCACACCCAGGGAGUGACCACCGCCUCGGCCCACACCCAGCGAGUGACGACCGCCUCGGUCCCCUCGGCCCACACCCAGGGAGUGACCACCGCCUCGGCCCCCUCGGCCCACACCCAGGGAGUGACCACCGCCUCGGCCCACACCCAGCGAGUGACGACUGCUUCGGCCCCCUCUGCCCACACCCAGCGAGUGACGACUGCCUCGGCCCACGCGCAAAUCUCACACAGCCUGGCUCUAGAGACCUCGACUCACACAGCCACUGUCUCACAUCCCCAUCCUGCCCUCAUUAAACAGCUGGUUCUGAUGAAUGGUUUGGAAGGAGGCUUCGGGGAGCUCAAGACCCUACUGGCCCCACAGCAGCACGAGGUGAAACCUAGCUCAGCCACAGCCAAGGUGGUAUCCGGACCAGCUGAUUCUGCAGUAUCAUCCAACACUGAGACCCAAAGGUCCAGCGGGCUCCCUCUGCCUCCUUUGAUUAGGCCUCCCUCUCGUUUUAAUUCUGCACAUUCUACCUAAAGAUGUAUUCAGAAGUGAAUAGUAUGUAUUCUUUCUACCAAAUACAUUGUUUUGCAUUUCACAUGAUUUGACUCUGUUUGUUCUAUGAGUACAGUAUGUGUCUGUUCCUAAUGAAAACAUUUGGUAUGCCUAUUGGUUUUGGCUUAUUAAUUUUGGUUUGUUUUAAAUACAACAUGCAUAGUUUAGGCUACAGAAAAAAGUAAAUAUCAUGGUGCACUGUUUAAAAUACACAAUGUCAAAACGUGUCUUAGAACAGACACAAGCGAAACACAGCUGAAUGGAGGUGAAAUGGCAGGGAUGUUGAUACUAUAAUACACUUUACAGUAACAAACUGACAUGUUGAGCUAUUUUGGUCUGAGGUGGUGCCUCUUGAAGUAUUACUGCUGCUUACAUUUCCAUCGCAGAGCCCUUUUCCCAGUUAGCCUAUGGGAAUGACACUUGUAGGUUCAUUCCCGUGUUAUUUUUUAGUCUAUCUAUGCUUGCGGAUUCCUCUAGAUGUCAGAAGAAAGCGAGACUACCUUGGAGACGGUGAGAACAGAGAUACAGAGCUAUACUCCCACGCACUGACGCAUAGCCCUACAUUAUACUACAUGUCAGGCACAUGGAGCAAUACAGGAAUGAAGAGAGGAGCACGUGCUAAAUUAUACCUGAACACUAUAAUUGGGGUGUUACUAUAAAUAGUCAGGAUGCAUCCCAAAAUUGCACCCUAUUCGUUUUAUAGUGCGCUACUUUUUAACCAGGGUCCCUGGCGGCAUCACCGCUUUUUAUGGCAACUGCUUUGCCUCCGACCGCAAGGCGCUACAGGGGGUAGUGCGGAUGGCCCAGUACAUCACUGGGGUGGAACACCCUGCCAUCCAGGACCUCUAUACCAGGCGGUGUCAGAGGAAGACCAUAAAAAUGGUGAAAGACUCCAGCCACCCAAGUCAUAGACUGUUCUCUGCUACCACACGGCAAGCGGUACCGAAGUCUGAAGCCAAACAGGACCCUGAACAUCUUUUACCACCAAGCCAUAAGACAGCUAAAUAGCUAGUUAAAUAGUUAACCAAAAAGCAACCCGGGCUGUAUGUAUUGACCCUUUUUUGCACUAACUUUGACACAUUGCAUAUGCUGCUACUGUUAACCAUCUCGUACCCCGUGUAUAUAGCCAAGUUAUUGUUACUCAAUGUGUACCUGUCAUGUUUUUUACUUUUUUGUAUUAUUUCUCUAUUUUAUUGCUCUCCAUUGUUGGGGAGGGUCUAUAUGUAAGCAUUUUACUGUUAGUCCACACCUGUUGUUUACAAAGCAGGUGACAAAAACAUUUUUAUUUGACCUCCCCAGCCGUGUCUGUGUCCAUUAGUUACAGCUUCCUCUCUGGCAGACAACGAGGCUGACACUGUCAGACAGGAUGAUGCCUGCUGCACUCCACAAGGUGGAGCUCUGUAGGGUUAAAUGGGUGUUUAGAUGGCUGCUGAGAGCCCAACUGGGACUGCUGAAGACCAGUGGUUUCUCUCACCACUGUGCAUGGCACCCUAUGGAUGGUCUGUCACUGCUGCAGUCACAGCAAUGGACGUUCAACUAAACUGAAUAUAAGGGGAUAACGGGCUCUAGUCAAAAAGACAGACGACUGACAUUGACGCUUGUAGUAUGAACAGGUUUGCUGGCUGUUCUCCUCAUGGAAGCUUCUUAUGGCAAAUAAUAAUCACCUGCAAGCAUCAGAUUGUAUUUGUGAAAUAAUCAAACUGUUCAGUCUGAAUCAGUCACCUCAGAGUUUUUCUUUUUUUUUAAAAUGUAUGUAGGAAAGUAAUGAAGCGUCCUUAAUGUGAUGAUAUACCCCAUGGAUAUCUCACUCAAUAUAAAAAUAAAUAAAAAAGCAGCUAGCAGAUAGCCAGAAAGUUGUGUUAUUGUAAACAGUGCAUGUUAAGGCCACCACACAACUACAAACUCAAUUUUCAGUUUGUGACAUUUAAUAUCUCACACACUGGAAUACACCAAAUAAAAAAAGUAAUUGCCUUGAUUCAUAUUCAAUGUUAUGAGGUUUGUUCUAUGUGUAAAUCCUCCCUAAUCGUUAGGGUGUCUAGGUUCUCAUUACAAGGUGUCAGAUCAGUGGGCUGAAUAUAGUGAUACAUUUUCCUCUCAGAAGCUUUUGGUGGAUUUUUAAAUGAUCAGUCACACCCAACCCUUUUCCUUGUCCUAGCCUAUAUCUAUUCAACAAAUAUAUUUUGCCUUGAUUACUAUGAAAAACACCCCACUGUGACCCACAGCAUAAAAGCCAGAUAUUUAUAUUGAGGAUUACUUUCAAAGUGCAGUUACUCAGGGGUUGAUUGAGGACCACCUGUUUUGUUGUAGUCUGGCUGACACCAGCUCUCGAUGUCCUACAGUAGUCACAUGGGUCGCGUCAGCCAGGCUAGUAUUGGUCUCUGAUAUCACUCUCGCCUGAGGGGAUGGUAAAGGAAAAACAGAUUGAGGCACGCUUCUAUUGUUAACACCCUUUGAGAGGUUUACUCUAGCGUCCACCCUAAAAGUCUGGUCUGUUUCAGCAUCACCGUUCCAGGUGCGGGGAAAUCUCAAAUCGCUGCUGCGCCAUGCUCCCUUUUCAUAUCACAGGCUUCUGAUUGUCAAUGCUAGUAUCCCAAAUGGCACCCCAUUCCCUCUCCCGUGCACUACUUUUGACCAGGGCUCACAGGGGAAUAGGUUGCCAUAGAGGGAAUAGGGUAUCAUUGGGGACAGAAAAACUGUGACCAAACAAAGCUCAUUAAUAAUGCUGAGGACAUCAGAGGGCAGGGCUGUUAAAGUGGGAGUCAAACAGGGUGCCUAGCAAUGGAAUAGAGUGGCAAAACUCGAGGCACCUCUGAGGGAACUGUACUGUAGAGGCACAGAUUGUGGUAAUUACAUAUGUAGCCUGGAUCCAAACUGAAUUGUAAGAAAGCCUUGUCCAAACCAGAACAGAUCAUAGGACACCUCCUGGGCAGGACACUGGGGUUCAUCACCCAAUCCAUGUUCUUAUGCCAAUGGCCAAGCAGAGGCAUCGGGUUCCAUUUUAAGUCUUUGGUAUGACUCCAAACUGAAUUGCUCCAACGGGAAAAGAAUUUCGUUUGGAUCCAGUCAAGUAUUUUGUGCUCAUUUCGUACAUCACUUCCUUAAUUUGGUUUGAUCCGUUGUUCUGGAUGAAAAGCAGUUUGAUUGCUGUAUUCUGCUGGUGUAUUAAGCUAGCUUCUAUCAUCAAACAUCUGGCAAUAGGUACUGAAACAUAAAUAAUUGCCUUGCCUUCAUUUAUCUUGCAUUGUAGUAUCAAGGGAAUACACAAUUAUAUACCCUGUUAAUAUCAAAUACUGUCCUUAAAAUUACACACCAAAUUCACAAACUAGAGCAUGUUGCUCAACUUCUUGAACAAGGGUGACACCUAGUGACAUAUUUCUGCAUGAAGUUGGAGCCAAAAAGAAAUUCAAAUGCCAUGAUAAACUACACUUGCAAGACAGGAUUUAAAAAUAUAUAUAUAUUCUUUACAAAUGAAAAUACACCAUAACAUCUCCAACCUCACAAUUUCUGUUAUUUAAAUGGACAAAAGGUUAUCACUAAAAAACAUUAAAAUGCAUAAAAGGUUAUCACAGUGACCGGAACCGAUUUAAGGUCAAUCUUUUGUAUUUACAAAUGGACUAGAAAUUCGACAUCACAGUAGUAUCCAGGGUCGUGUUCAUUAGGGUUGUUCAUAAAGUCCAGAUAGUAUCUCCCAAGUUCCACUCAGUUUCAGACCGCUUUCUUUAAUUGUAUACCUACUGAACAGGACCCAAGAGUAGAAAGGUUCUCAGGGAGUUCUAUCUCCUUGCCGUCCUGCUCUCUAACACCUGGAUAACCAGGCGCGUCUUCAGCGAUGGCAGCUUGUUGCUGUAGUUCUGUUGGAGCACAGUGCUCAGUCUACUGCGCAGGCUCCGCAGGCAGGGCAGGGAGCUACAGUCAGGUACAUUCAGCAGAGUGUGGAAGAACUCUGUCCACAGAUCACUGUGGGGAUUUC
rnacentral:lncRNA from 1 species